rnacentral:lncRNA from 1 species
AUUCUCAUCCCUCUUCUCAUCCCCAGAGACUAACCCUAGGUCAGCAGAAGGUCAAGCCCUGCCCGAAGUUAGAGGUCAGGGGUUAAAGGUCAUGUCCUGUUGACCCUGCGUGUGAGAUAAGCAGGCGAAGCUGGGAGCAGUGAGCCCCUGGUGGACGGACCUGGCUGUGGACCACGGUUGUUAUUGGCAGCUUGUCAGGCUGAGCAGAGCUGGACAGCAGGAGAUUUUGGAGGCCAUGGCAAGAUUCACGCAGAGACGGGAAUUCAGAAGAAGAUGUGAUUGGUCGCUUGGUAAGAGCCCUUCUCUCUCUUUCUGAUGAAUAGAUGUUUUAUAUUAUGGCUAUGUGCAGUGUUGUAAUAAUGUGUAAAUAGUAAAUAAAUAAAGAUA